CCCCUUCCUGUUAGACUUGUCUUACAACUCUCUAGCAAGCAAGCUGCGAAAUAAAUUUUUUUGGUAUACCCAUAAAGAUAUCCAUCUAAUAAAAUCAGAACACACAAGCACUCGAAAGGCCAGCCAGAGGUAAGGUUGGAGAGAACUAGAAAAUAAGCACACAAGAUCACUUCGGGGAGACAUGUGAGUAGGAGAGAUGGAGUUAGGAUUUAAAUUA
rnacentral:lncRNA from 1 species